AUACUUACCUGGUGUCGGGGUGUCUGCGAUCAAGGAGGCAGAGCCCCCAGGGCGAGGCGUGGCCAUUGCACUUCGGCCGUGUUGACCCCUGCCACUUUCUCAAACUGAGAUAGAUGGGGCAUGCAAUUUUUGGUAGUGGGGGAGCAGCGUACGCGCUAUCCCCCU
rnacentral:snRNA from 1 species